CUCGCCGCAGACGGCCUGCCUCGCCUCGUGCUCUCCUGCCGCCGCCCCGCAGAAAUGCUUCGACUACCCACAGUCCUUCGCCAGAUGAGACCAGUGUCCCGGGCACUGGCUCCUCAUCUCACUCGGGCCUAUGCCAAAGAUGUAAAAUUUGGUGCGGAUGCUCGAGCCUUAAUGCUUCAAGGUGUAGACCUUUUAGCCGAUGCUGUAGCUGUUACAAUGGGGCCAAAGGGAAGAACUGUGAUUAUUGAACAGAGUUGGGGAAGUCCCAAAGUNACAAAAGAUGGGGUCACUGUUGCAAAGUCAAUUGAUUUAAAGGAUAAAUACAAAAAUAUUGGAGCUAAACUUGUUCAGGAUGUUGCCAAUAACACAAACGAAGAGGCUGGAGAUGGCACCACCACUGCCACUGUUCUGGCACGAUCUAUUGCCAAGGAGGGCUUUGAGAAGAUCAGCAAAGGGGCUAAUCCAGUGGAAAUCCGGAGAGGUGUGAUGUUGGCUGUUGAUGCUGUAAUUGCUGAACUUAAGAAACAGUCUAAACCUGUGACAACCCCUGAAGAAAUUGCUCAGGUUGCUACAAUUUCUGCAAAUGGAGACAAAGACAUUGGGAACAUCAUUUCUGAUGCAAUGAAAAAGGUUGGAAGAAAGGGUGUCAUCACAGUGAAGGAUGGAAAAACCCUGAAUGAUGAGCUAGAAAUUAUUGAAGGCAAGAAGUUUGAUAGAGGAUAUAUUUCCCCAUAUUUUAUAACACAUCAAAAGGUCAAAAGUGUGAAUUCCAAGAUGCCUAUGUCUUGUCAAGAGUGAAAAGAAAAUUUCCAGUGUUCAGUCCAUUGUCCCUGCUCUUGAAAUUGCUAAUGCUCAUCGGAAGCCAUUGGUCAUAAUCGCCGAAGACGUUGAUGGAGAAGCUCUAAGCACGCUGGUUUUGAACAGGCUAAAAGUUGGUCUUCAGGUUGUAGCAGUCAAAGCUCCAGGAUUUGGGGACAAUAGGAAGAACCAGCUUAAAGAUAUGGCUAUUGCUACUGGUGGUGCGGUGUUUGGAGAAGAGGGGUUGAAUCUAAAUCUUGAAGAUGUUCAAGCUCAUGACUUAGGAAAAGUUGGAAGAGGUCAUUGUCACCAAAGAUGAUGCCAUGCUUUUGAAAGGAAAAGGUGACAAAGCUCACAUUGAAAAACGUAUUCAAGAAAUCACUGAGCAGCUAGACAUCACAACUAGUAAAUAUGAAAAGGAAAAGCUGAACGAGCGACUUGCUAAGCUUUCAGAUGGAGUAGCUGUGUUGAAGGUUGGAGGAACAAGUGAUGUUGAAGUGAAUGAGAAAAAAGACAGAGUUACUGACGCCCUCAAUGCUACAAGAGCAGCUGUUGAAGAAGGCAUUGUUCUAGGAGGGGGCUGUGCUCUGCUUCGGUGCAUCCCAGCCUUGGAUUCAUUAAAGCCUGCUAAUGAAGACCAGAAAAUAGGUAUAGAAAUUAUUAAAAGAGCACUUAAAAUUCCUGCAAUGACGAUUGCUAAGAAUGCAGGUGUUGAAGGAUCUUUGAUAGUUGAGAAUUCUGCAGAGUUCCUCAGAAGUUGGUUAUGACGCCAUGCUUGGAGAUUUUGUGAACAUGGUGGAAAAAGGGAUCAUUGAUCCAACAAAGGUUGUAAGAACUGCCUUACUGGAUGCUGCUGGAGUGGCCUCCUUGCUAACUACAGCCGAAGCUGUAGUGACAGAAAUUCCUAAAGAAGAGAACGACCCUGGAAUGGGAGCAAUGGGUGGAAUGGGAGGGGGUAUGGGAGGUGGCAUGUUCUAACUCCUAGAGUAGUGUUUUGCCCUUAUCAAUGAACUGUGACAGGAAGCUCAAGGCAGGUUCCUCACCAAUAACUUCAGAGAAGUAAGUCACCUGGAGAAAAUGACUG